GGGUUGUGAGGUUAAGCGACUAAGCGUACACGGUGGAUGCCCUGGCAGUCAGAGGCGAUGAAGGACGUGCUAAUCUGCGAAAAGCGUCGGUAAGGUGAUAUGAACCGUUACAGCCGGCGAUGUCCGAAUGGGGAAACCCAGUGCAAUUCGUUGCACUAUCGUUAACUGAAUACAUAGGUUAACGAGGCGAACCGGGGGAACUGAAACAUCUAAGUACCCCGAGGAAAAGAAAUCAACCGAGAUUCCCCCAGUAGCGGCGAGCGAACGGGGAGCAGCCCAGAGUCUGAAUCAGCUUGUGUGUUAGUGGAACGGUCUGGAAAGUCCGACGGUACAGGGUGAUAGUCCCGUACACCAAAAUGCACAGGCUGUGAACUCGAAGAGUAGGGCGGGACACGUGGUAUCCUGUCUGAAUAUGGGGGGACCAUCCUCCAAGGCUAAAUACUCCUGACUGACCGAUAGUGAACCAGUACCGUGAGGGAAAGGCGAAAAGAACCCCGGCGAGGGGAGUGAAAAAGAACCUGAAACCGUGUACGUACAAGCAGUGGGAGCACCUUCGGGUGUGACUGCGUACCUUUUGUAUAAUGGGUCAGCGACUUAUAUUCUGUAGCAAGGUUAACCGUAUAGGGGAGCCGCAGGGGAAACCGAGUCUUAACUGGGCGUUAAGUUGCAGGGUAUAGACCCGAAACCCGGUGAUCUAGCCAUGGGCAGGUUGAAGGUUGGGUAACACUAACUGGAGGACCGAACCGACUAAUGUUGAAAAAUUAGCGGAUGACUUGUGGCUGGGGGUGAAAGGCCAAUCAAACCGGGAGAUAGCUGGUUCUCCCCGAAAGCUAUUUAGGUAGCGCCUCGUGAACUCAUCUUCGGGGGUAGAGCACUGUUUCGGCUAGGGGGUCAUCCCGACUUACCAACCCGAUGCAAACUACGAAUACCGAAGAAUGUUAUCACGGGAGACACACGGCGGGUGCUAACGUCCGUCGUGAAGAGGGAAACAACCCAGACCGCCAGCUAAGGUCCCAAAGUCAUGGUUAAGUGGGAAACGAUGUGGGAAGGCACAGACAGCCAGGAUGUUGGCUUAGAAGCAGCCAUCAUUUAAAGAAAGCGUAAUAGCUCACUGGUCGAGUCGGCCUGCGCGGAAGAUGUAACGGGGCUAAACCAUGCACCGAAGCUGCGGCAGCGACACUAUGUGUUGUUGGGUAGGGGAGCGUUCUGUAAGCCUGCGAAGGUGACCUGUGAGGGUUGCUGGAGGUAUCAGAAGUGCGAAUGCUGACAUAAGUAACGAUAAAGCGGGUGAAAAGCCCGCUCGCCGGAAGACCAAGGGUUCCUGUCCAACGUUAAUCGGGGCAGGGUGAGUCGACCCCUAAGGCGAGGCCGAAAGGCGUAGUCGAUGGGAAACAGGUUAAUAUUCCUGUACUUGGUGUUACUGCGAAGGGGGGACGGAGAAGGCUAUGUUAGCCGGGCGACGGUUGUCCCGGUUUAAGCAUGUAGGCUGGUUGUCCAGGCAAAUCCGGAUAAUCAAGGCUGAGGUGUGAUGACGAGGCACUACGGUGCUGAAGUAACAAAUGCCCUGCUUCCAGGAAAAGCCUCUAAGCAUCAGGUAACAUUAAAUCGUACCCCAAACCGACACAGGUGGUCAGGUAGAGAAUACCAAGGCGCUUGAGAGAACUCGGGUGAAGGAACUAGGCAAAAUGGUGCCGUAACUUCGGGAGAAGGCACGCUGGUGUGUAGGUGAAGUCCCUGCGGAUGGAGCUGAGACCAGUCGAAGAUACCAGCUGGCUGCAACUGUUUAUUAAAAAACACAGCACUGUGCAAACACGAAAGUGGACGUAUACGGUGUGACGCCUGCCCGGUGCCGGAAGGUUAAUUGAUGGGGUUAUCCGUAAGGAGAAGCUCUUGAUCGAAGCCCCGGUAAACGGCGGCCGUAACUAUAACGGUCCUAAGGUAGCGAAAUUCCUUGUCGGGUAAGUUCCGACCUGCACGAAUGGCGUAAUGAUGGCCAGGCUGUCUCCACCCGAGACUCAGUGAAAUUGAACUCGCUGUGAAGAUGCAGUGUACCCGCGGCAAGACGGAAAGACCCCGUGAACCUUUACUAUAGCUUGACACUGAACAUUGAGCCUUGAUGUGUAGGAUAGGUGGGAGGCUUUGAAGCGUGGACGCCAGUCUGCGUGGAGCCAACCUUGAAAUACCACCCUUUAAUGUUUGAUGUUCUAACGUUGGCCCCUUACCGGGGUUGCGGACAGUGUCUGGUGGGUAGUUUGACUGGGGCGGUCUCCUCCCAAAGCGUAACGGAGGAGCACGAAGGUUAGCUAAUCCUGGUCGGACAUCAGGAGGUUAGUGCAAUGGCAUAAGCUAGCUUGACUGCGAGCGUGACGGCGCGAGCAGGUGCGAAAGCAGGUCAUAGUGAUCCGGUGGUUCUGAAUGGAAGGGCCAUCGCUCAACGGAUAAAAGGUACUCCGGGGAUAACAGGCUGAUACCGCCCAAGAGUUCAUAUCGACGGCGGUGUUUGGCACCUCGAUGUCGGCUCAUCACAUCCUGGGGCUGAAGUAGGUCCCAAGGGUAUGGCUGUUCGCCAUUUAAAGUGGUACGCGAGCUGGGUUUAGAACGUCGUGAGACAGUUCGGUCCCUAUCUGCCGUGGGCGCUGGAGAAUUGAGGGGGGCUGCUCCUAGUACGAGAGGACCGGAGUGGACGCAUCACUGGUGUUCGGGUUGUCAUGCCAAUGGCACUGCCCGGUAGCUAAAUGCGGAAGAGAUAAGUGCUGAAAGCAUCUAAGCACGAAACUUGCCCCGAGAUGAGUUCUCCCUGAGACUUUAAGUCUCCUGAAGGAACGUUGAAGACGACGACGUUGAUAGGCCGGGUGUGUAAGCGCAGCGAUGCGUUGAGCUAACCGGUACUAAUGAACCGUGAGGCUUAACCUUACAACGCCGAAG
rnacentral:rRNA from 1 species